AUGCUGCUGCAGGUGGCGACGAAGCUCACCGCCAGGGAGGUAUGGGACUCCGUGAAGGUGAGGUUCGUCGGCGUCGAUCGGGUCCGCACGGCGAGGCUGGCGACGUUGCGUGGCGAGUUCGACCGCCUGAAGAUGGCGGACGAUGAGGAGCUCGACGUGUACGGCGGGAGGCUCACGGCGAUGGCGGCGAGGUACGCCUACCUCGGGGAGACGCUGGGCGACGCGGCGCUCGUCAAGAAGCUGCUGGAUACGGUACCGGAUCGGCUCUUCCCCGUCGUCGCGGGCAUCGAGCAGUUCUAUGACGUGACGAUGAUGGCGUUCGACAAAGUGCUCGGGCGGCUGCGCGCGUUCGGCGAGCGAGUUCGGCGUUGA
rnacentral:rRNA from 1 species